GUGCUAUACAUGCAGUCGAGCGAAUGGAUUGAGAGCUUGCUCUCAAGAAGUUAGCGGCGGACGGGUGAGUAACACGUGGGUAACCUGCCCAUAAGACUGGGAUAACUCCGGGAAACCGGGGCUAAUACCGGAUAACAUUUUGAACUGCAUGGUUCGAAAUUGAAAGGCGGCUUCGGCUGUCACUUAUGGAUGGACCCGCGUCGCAUUAGCUAGUUGGUGAGGUAACGGCUCACCAAGGCAACGAUGCGUAGCCGACCUGAGAGGGUGAUCGGCCACACUGGGACUGAGACACGGCCCAGACUCCUACGGGAGGCAGCAGUAGGGAAUCUUCCGCAAUGGACGAAAGUCUGACGGAGCAACGCCGCGUGAGUGAUGAAGGCUUUCGGGUCGUAAAACUCUGUUGUUAGGGAAGAACAAGUGCUAGUUGAAUAAGC
rnacentral:rRNA from 1 species